rnacentral:lncRNA from 1 species
ACAGUUGUCACUUCCUGUGUAACCUUGGGAACCUUUGAGUCUUGUAAGUUUCAGGAGCUUCCUGUGCCUCUUUAAAGAACCUCCCUCCCAGAAGUGUCUUUCCAUUUGGUUGAGACACUAUGCAACACAUAACUUUAACUUUUGGGAAAGUAAUUGGUCCAAGGUUAACCUGUUGCCUUAGGUAUGUGGGUAACAGAUGAAAUGAACCUGUGGAACCAGAGGGAGCUACUUCUGGGCUCCCAAUUUGUGAAGGGUUAAUUCACCACAGAAUUUUUCUAAAUUAGACACAUGUCCUCCUUCCCUGAGACCUGUGGGUGGUUUGGCUGUUGUUGGCUCGUGGAUAGUUUUUCACAUGCUACAAAAUCUGUCUGUAGUCUCUGUCAUAUCUAUAUCUAUGCUUAUAUCAUAUCUAAAUCUUAAUAUUUCUGAGAGGCAUAAAAGCAGAUGUAAUUUUUCUCCCAAAAUACAGAUGCCUUUUUCCAGUUUGGAUUCUACUGAAAGAAUCACAGGCAUUGGAUGUCAUUUGUCAUGUCUUAAGGAAAGUCACACAGUUCCAGCUGUCCUUCUGCCCUUGGCCAGCCAGGCUGUCUGCAAGGUUGGAGGGAUGCUCUAACGACUUGCAGAGGGAGCCUAGAAACUCCAGGCAGUUGAGCUCAGAAGUAAUACAAACAACACCCUUGAAGUUUUUAUUAUUAAAGCAACCAAAGCUGAGGGCACAUUUACAGUCAAAUACAAGCAGAGCGAGAGGAUAUGCCUGCGGUUACAUCUUAUCUUUGGCUACGUGAAAAGAGCCGGGAACACUCCUCUAGGCCCUUGCCUUUCCCACAGAGAUGAUGUAGGCAUGCCAGAACAUUCUCUUCAUGGUGUUGCUUUCAAGUCCAUCCACUUACCGUAGUUUUGGCAAUUGUUUUGAGAAGGCCACCUUGUGGGAAGAGCGGUCUUCUCUCUGCCCUGUCCAUAGCUCCCAGUCACUUCACAGCCUUCUGACACAGGCUGUCACAGCAGGUGUGUCAGUGGCCUCCCAGUCCUGCUCAUGGGCUUGCCAAGGUCCCCACAAUGGCUUUGUUGUCUUGGUUGCUCUUCCUGCUUCUGACUGAUCUAGUUACAGUUUGGUUAGAGGUUACAUACGUUCUGCUAAGUUGGUCAUUUUUUUCAGGCACAAAAAUUAAGUACAAUAGUAUUAUUGAUUUGCAGGACACGAAUCUAUGUUGCGUCAUCAAUGGUCCUGUUCUCUCGCCUAUUCAUGAACGAGCCUGUGGAUCUUGCUAUGUUUGCUUAAGGCCGUCAGACUUCUGCUGAAUCAUUUUUUAGCUUUUUGGAAAGCAGAGGUGUGUCGGUGGCUUUGUGACAGUCCUCUGCUUGGAUAGUGUCUCCAUUGUCACGUAGUCCUUAUGCCCAUGGGAAACUUAAAUCAGCCUCACACACAUCCCCUCUCCACUCUGACUGUGUGUGCCCAGCUCUCUUAGCUGUUACUCGGGAGGCCAUGCAGCAUCUGUCUCUCUGAGCCUGAUUUUUUUUCACCGGGUAUACAUCCCUUAAGGUGCUUCAGAUGACCACAAGUGGCAGCAUUCCAGAACUGAUGCUUUAAGACUGAGGUUUAUGAAUAAGAUUCUGGUCACAAUAAUGUACUUAACUAUUCUUUGUCUUAAUGAAUGGCAGUUCUAGCUUGUCCAUCUGAAAACCUUAUUGUUUCACCUCAGUAUGGGGGGCUGACUUCAUCGAUUCUUUGUCAGGGACCAGAUUUUUCUUGUAUCACGCGAUGUGAAUGAGGAGGAAGAGAAAUCCUGUCCCAUACAGAGGAAUAUAUUUCAGCUUGAAAACAGCACACGGAACAUUAUGAACUAACCAGUACCCCGGAGCUCUUGACUCUAGCUGCAUAUGUAUCAAAAGAUGGCCUAGUCGGCCAUCACUGGAAAGAGAGGCCCAUUGGACACGCAAACUUUAUAUGCCCCAGUACAGGGGAACCCCAGGGCCAAAAAACAGGAAUGGGUGGGUAGGGAAGUGGGGGGGAGGGUAUGGGGGACUUUUGGGAUAGCAUUCUAAAUGUAAUUGAGGAAAAUACACAAUAAUAAAAAAUAUUUAAAAAAAGAAAAAUCAAAGAUAAAUAAAUAAAUCUUUUGUUAAAUUUAUUAAAAAUAAAUCUUUUGAAAUAGUUACAGUUAAAAAAAAAAGAAAUAUAAUCCCAUGUAAAGUACUACCUACUAAAGUGCAAGUCAAGUGCAUUAAACACAAAGAAGGGACAGAAGGGCCAUGUGUGUCUGGUCUGUUCCGUCAGUUUGCUUUGAAUAAAGUUGCCUUGAAAUUUGUGGGAAAGAAAAGAAAACAGCACACGGGUCAUUACCAUCGUCCAGGAAAGCAUCUGGGCUUGCUCUUUUCCCCUUCCUGCCCUAGAGAUUCCAUGGACACGGGGCCAUCCACAGGAACACAAACAACCCAUCAGCUGCCAAACUGCUGAAGAAAAGUGACUCCCCUCCUCCAGCAGGCGUAAGUUGCCAGUGGCUAAGAGUGGAACUGCCUGAGUCCCCACCUCCAUCGAUGCUGCAAAGUGCGUGCCUCGACUUUGUGCAGGUACUCAUGGCUGUUCUGGGUCUGUGAGUGAGAUAGCCACCUCACUGAUGGUCACAGAUGGUGACAUUUUCAUAAUUCCUCCUCAUCUCACGUUCUUUUCUUCUGGAAUGUUCCCUGAGCCUUGCGAGGGAUAGUUAACAUAGACGUCCCAUUUGGGAAUGAAUCCUCACAGUUUCUUGGUGGUGGUGGUAGUGGGGUGUUGAGACAGGGUUUCUUUAUUAUGUAACUUUGACUGUCCUAGAACUCACUAUGUAGACCAGGCUGGCCUUGAACUCACAGAGAUCCACCUGUCUCUGCCUCCCAAGUGCUGGGAUUAAAGGCGUGCACCACCAAGCCAGAACCUCAAUCAUUUCUUAUUCUCAGCACUUUAGUCAGCUACGAGUCUCAGCAUUAACUGCUUCCCACCG